AUCACAUGCGACGAUGGGCGUCCGGCAGUCUGUUCUACUGCAGGCUUCAGCACAUUAUUCUCUGCCUGCCUUCCUCGAAACCUAAUGGGAAGCUGCUGCUUGAAGUUAGACCUAACCCCAGUCCUAACGCUCAUGUCAAGCUACUCCCUUGUGAGUCCUUCCAAAGACUACUGAAUCAUACAUACCCAACCUCUGUGGCCUUACCUUCUCCUCCUUGUGUCAUUAAACCCACCUUCCUCAGUGAGUACUUAUAUCCCUCUGCCCACUUCACAACCGAGUACACGUCUCAAGUAGUUCCCUGGGUCUCCUUCGUCUCACCUGCUCUUUGAUGAUGUUCCAAGGCUUUCUUAGCUGAGGUGAUGAUUGUGGUCUGAAGCCGGAGGAUGGACGAUAAGGACUCAGUAGCCUCCUUGGAUCCUACGGCGGUGCAGGAAGUCAUGCCUAUUUCCGCCGUCACCGACAUCGUAAGAAGUUGGAUUAAAGGUCAAGGGACGCUAGCGUUCCAUGGUCGUUUUAUCUUCGGAUGCAGGAGUUGGUCUUUGUCGGUGUUAUCUAAUAUUUCUUGUUAGUUCUGGAAUGGUGUUAUCCCAUCUGAGCUUUUCUCCCUUCCCGACUAUCCUUCUUCAAACCCCACACCACUGCCCGCAAGAUCAACUGUUCUUGACCUUGUAAGACCUUUUCUUGAUCUUGUAAGGCCCAAUUCUCCAUCUGUUUUCCUCGUCGUCUGCUUCAUCUUCAUCGUCUCCUCACUCGACGUGGAACGAGUCAAUGCAAACUAUCUUCCUGUCUUCUCUCUCCUCUUCUGCCCUCCCCUCCUCUCUAUCCCUCCUGAGCUAUUUCACCAGAUGUGCUUCGAGAUUAUCUAGCUCUUCUUACUUUUAAACUUGUUAAGAUCCACUUUGAGAGAGGAGCUUUAAUAGGUUAUCAUUUCUAAGGUAGAAUAUCUCCAACUGUUUCGAUAUUAUUAUGUUUUGCAGCCAUCCAUUUGUUUUGCUUCACAUGUUAGGCAGUAUAUUCUUCUUCCCGUCAUAAAUCGAGCUGGUACAGCAUGUACAAGGCUAUGGAUCUUUUCGAUGCUUUUUGUAUGCCAGUUUUCUGUGAUUUCCAAUGAAAUAUGCCUUUUGGUGUUAUCAUA